CCGUGGGCGCUGGAUAUUUGAAGGGGGCUGCUCCUAGUACGAGAGGACCGGAGUGGACGAACCUCUGGUGUACCGGUUGUCACGCCAGUGGCAUCGCCGGGUAGCUAUGUUCGGAAGAGAUAACCGCUGAAAGCAUCUAAGCGGGAAACUCGCCUUAAGAUGAGAUAUCCCCGGGGCUUCGAGCCCCUUGAAGGGUCGUUCAAGACCAGGACGUUGAUAGGUCAGGUGUGGAAGCGCAGUAAUGCGUUAAGCUAACUGAUACUAAUUGCCCGUAAGGCUUGAUCCUAUAACC
rnacentral:rRNA from 1 species